CCUACGGGAGGCAGCAGUGAGGAAUAUUGGUCAAUGGACGCGAGUCUGAACCAGCCAAGCCGCGUGAAGGAUGACUGCUCUACGAGUUGUAAACUGCUUUUAUACAAGGAUAAACUCAGAUACGUGUGCCUUUCUGAAAGUAUCGUACGAAUAAGGAUCGGCUAACUCCGUGCCAGCAGCCGCGGUAAUACGGAGGAUUCAAGCGUUAUCCGGAUUUAUUGGGUUUAAAGGGUGCGUAGGCGGUCGGAUAAGUUAGUGGUGAAAUCUCGCGGCUCAACUUCGGAAUUGCCUCUGAUACUGUUAGGCUAGAGAGUAGUUGAGGUAGGCGGAAUGUAUGGUGUAGCGGUGAAAUGCUUAGAGAUCAUACAGAACACCGAUUGCGAAGGCAGCUUACCAAGCUACGGCUGACGUUGAGGCACGAAAGCGUGGGGAGCAAACAGGAUUAGAUACCCCGGUAGUC
rnacentral:rRNA from 1 species